rnacentral:rRNA from 1 species
AUGAAGAGAAAAACUAUGAGUAUGCAUAGUUUUUAUGCAAGCAGUUCAAUUACCCCUCCCCAAAGGCCUGCUCCUCCCCCUACCGAUGUCGAACCUGAACUUGAACCAACUAAUGUGACUGCAAAUCCCCUCCCCUUAAUUGUUGUGGGCACAAUCCCUCCUCCUGAACGCCCAAAUGAAUCCCCAAAUGUUGAGAUGAAUCAUACCACAAUUGAUGAGAGUACAAACCAACCAAGGCAACCUAUACCAGAAUUUCAUCCAAGUCAAAUUAUUUCGGAUCCAGGACUUCGAAUACCAAUAGAAGAUUAUGCUCCUGAAAUUAGAAGUGAUGUGAGACGAGCUUAUUUGUUGAAAGGGAGAAACAAAGCUAUUGGGCAUAAUUUUGAAAAGACAAAGGAUGGUAAAAUUUGGAGAUCCUUUCAACCUGCGUGGUUUGAUACGUAUGAUUGGUUGGAAUAUAGUGUGGAAAAGGAGGCCGCCUUUUGCUACCAUUGCUUUCUUUUCAAGAAACCGUCACAAGCCAUUAGAUUUGGAAAUGAUGUUUUCACAAAAGAUGGUUACACUCGUUGGAAAACAGCCCUAAGUAAUUUCAGGAAGCAUGUUGGUGGUCCAUCUAGUUACCACAACAUUGCUAAGGGAGAUUGUGAUGAUUUCAACAAUCAGAGAGCAAGUGUGGCUACCCAAUUCCGUGUGUACAGCAAGGAGUCUGAGAUAUCUUAUAAAAUCCGCCUAACUGCAUCAUUGGAUUGUGCAAGGUAUCUCAUAGCACAAGGUGAAGCUUUUCGUGGGCAUGACGAAUCCUCCACUUCCAUCAACAAGGGCAAUUUCAGAGAGUUAUUGGACUGGUAUAAGGACAAGAAAGAAGAUGUGAAGGAGGCAUUUGAUAAGGGGCCAGGAAACACACAAAUGAUUUGUUCCGACAUCCAGAAGGACCUUGCUACAGCUUGUGCAAUGGAGGUAACCAAAGUUAUUAAGAAUGACAUUAGAGAUAAGAAUUUCUCAAUACUUAUUGAUGAAGCUAGAGAUUGCUCAAUAAAGGAGCAAAUGGCGGUGAUUGUCAGAUUUCUAGAUGAUCAUGGAGUGCUUCAAGAGCGAUUCCUUGCAAUUAAGCACAUCACAGAUUUUACAUCUGCUGGAAUUAAAAAAGCUUUGGUUGAUGUGUUGGAAUAUCAUGGUUUGUCAACUUCUAGGCUACGUGGUCAGGGUUAUGAUGGUGCUUUCAAUAUGAGAGGAAAUUCAACGGUUUGCAAAAACUGGAAGGAUGCAUUACUUGCCAAACAUCAAGAUGAGUUGUUAGAUUUGAUGGAGAAUGGAAAGAUCACAGCCGGAACCGGGCUGCAUCAAGAAUCUAACAUAACAAGGCCAGGAGAUACUCGUUGGGGCUCACAUCUCAAAACUUUGCUUCGUAUAUUCACAAUGUGGAAUGCUGUGGUGGAGGUGCUAGGAAUUGUUGUGGUUGAUGCCCGAGAACACACAUGUCAAGGUGGAGCUAGAGGUUUGCUUAAAAACAUGGAAUGCUUUGAAUUUGUGUUCAUCAUGUUGUUCUUAAUAAACUUGUUGAGCAACACAAAUCAUCUAUCCCAAGCUUUGCAAAGAAAGAAUCAAAACAUUGUUGAAGCCAUGCGUUUGAUCUUGGAUGUGAAAGAAAGCUUGCAGAGCAUGAGGGACAAUGGGUGGGAGUCUUUAUUCUGCCAAGUCAAGAACUUUUGUGAAACACAUGGUAUUGAUGUGCCAAACAUGGAUGAUCUUGUUGGAGCUAUGGGUCAAUCUGUUCGCACUAAGAAUAAGGUGACUCGACUUCAUUAUUACAAGGUUAGCAUAUUCAAUGUUGCCAUUGAUGCAACUAUCACUGAGAUGAAUCACCGAUUCAAUGAAGUUUCCACCGAGUUAUUGGAUUGUAUGUCUUGUCUUAAUCCAGCAAACAACUUCUCAAAGUUUAACGUUGACAAACUUAUUCGGCUUGCUGAAAUUUAUGAUGAGGACUUCACAGAAGCUGAUCGGUUAAUGCUAGGAGUAGACCUCCCAAGAUUUCUUAUGAACAUUAGGAGAAGUGAAGAGUUUAAUGGAUGUUGGGAUGUGUCCACACUUGCUCGGUUGAUGGUUGAAACAAUGAAACACACAUCUUUCCAGUUGGUAUAUCGCCUCAUUGAGUUGACACUUAUUCUUCCUGUGGCCACUUCAUCCGUUGAGAGAAUAUUUUCAGCAAUGAAGAUAAUCAAGACAGAUUUGCGCAACAAACUAUCAGAUGAUUGGCUAAAUGAUUUGAUGGUGUGCUACUGCGAGAAAGAGAUAUUUAGAAGCAUUCCUGAUGACCAAAUCAUGAUACAAUUCCAGAAAAUGAGGGAUCGGAAAGGACAUUUGCCUCAUGAGUUUCAUGUGAUUUCUUAG